UUCAGGUCCGGACCUGAAACCCGGGAAAAUCGUAAUUAAAAAAAAAAAAAAAAAACAAGAAAAUAUCUGAUUCUCUCAGCCUCCCUCAAUCUCUUUCAUAUUUUUAAGUUCUAACCCUAACUCCCUAAGCCCAAACUGAUUCUCUCAGCCUCCCUCAAUCCCAACUUCUCAACGCGGCUGUCCGGCUGUCCCAACUCGCUCCGGCCACCGCCCACUGCCGACACCUCCCUCAUUCUCUCAGGCGAUGCACACCGAUAAUAUCUGGGAGUGAAGGAAGUCAAGGAACCACGGAUUCUUAUUCUUGCAAUAUGGAGAGCUCUCAAUCCAAACGGUCUGCUUCUUUUUCUGAACAAACGUCACAGCCACUUUCUGAAAAGGAUAUGGAAGAAUUGCAAUCUACUUUGCCUCCUGAUAAGAAGCUAAAAGCGGGGCGGGAAUAUA